rnacentral:rRNA from 1 species
AUUGAACGCUGGCGGCAUGCUUUACACAUGCAAGUCGAACGGUAACAGGUUAAGCUGACGAGUGGCGAACGGGUGAGUAAUGCAUCGGAACGUGCCCGAUCGUGGGGGAUAACGCAGCGAAAGCUGCGCUAAUACCGCAUACGAUCUGAGGAUGAAAGCGGGGGACCGUAAGGCCUCGCGCGAUCGGAGCGGCCGAUGUCAGAUUAGGUAGUUGGUGGGGUAAAGGCUCACCAAGCCAACGAUCUGUAGCUGGUCUGAGAGGACGACCAGCCACACUGGGACUGAGACACGGCCCAGACUCCUACGGGAGGCAGCAGUGGGGAAUUCUGGACAAUGGGCGAAAGCCUGAUCCAGCAAUGCCGCGUGCAGGAAGAAGGCCUUCGGGUUGUAAACUGCUUUUGUACGGAGCGAAAAGGCUCUCUCUAAUACAGGGGGCUCAUGACGGUACCGUAAGAAUAAGCACCGGCUAACUCUGUGCCAGCAGCCGCGGUAA